GUUCUCACUUCGGCAGCACAUAUAUGAAAACUGGAAUGAUACAGAGAAGAUUAGCAUGGCCCCUGCCCAAGGAUGACAUGAAAAUUCGUGAGGCAUUCCGUAUUUUU